rnacentral:lncRNA from 1 species
AGUGAAAGAGUGUUGUGUGCUUUUGCUGAGUUUAGGAUGGUGUCAAUUGUGCCUCAGGAGAAGAGUUUAGACAUUCUGUCCUGAUGAAUGUAAUCAAGUCUUUAUUUCAUGGUUUCUCUUAACGCAAAUACGUACAGGUUCAUAUUCGUCGAUGAGGGUGAGAGGAAAACUAUCGCCAACAGAAAGAAUCCAGAUAGGAAGAGAGAAAAAGAAAGACCAGAGAUGGAUUUUGUGUCCUUUUUAAAACAGCCUCAAUCACCUGAUUCCUCCCUGCCACUUCUCUGCAAAUGAUAGAGUUCACACAUCUAUAAUUCUCUCAUAGGUUCAUGUGGGCUGCUCCUCAUAACCCUGCUCAAACACUACUGAGGCAUCAGGAUCUUCAAGAUUCAUAUGAGGAAACUGAAGCGAAAGAAUGUUGACUAAUUUUGUCAAGGUCACACAACUGCUCUCUUUGGUGACUUCCUGAAGCUUGAAGUAUCUUCCUUGGGAGACGUAUUAUAGAAUUUGAAAUCCCACUGGCCAGAUCUCAGCAUGUAGUUUCAUCCCAACUCUACAGAAGUCUGGAAAAUACAGAGAGAACAUGGAAGAAGAGAUGAGAGCUCCAUCUCUCUGCUGGUGGAAGGAGAGGUUGUCUUUCCCUUCCCAUAGGGCAAGAAGAGCUGCCUCCACAUCCUCCUUCUGCUGUAGCUGAAGAGCCUGUUUAAAGGAACAUCCUGAUGGGGCUCAGCCUUUUGACCCCCAGAAAACAUGGCUUUGUCUGCCAUCCUGCAGCUCAUCAUGGGAGCCUGCAAAGUGGUUGGGGGCAGCACACACCAGCAUGCUGUGAAGAGAGGAAAGAGCUGCCGGGAUAACAACCCCGCAGCCACCAUAAUGACUCAGAUUAGAACACAAGGGAACACCAGCCAUUUUUUAGUCUGUCAGUUUUUCUAUUAUCCUCAAGACUGAGCAUGAAACAUUCAUUAUAACACGUCCUUAUUGAUUCAACUGAUGGAAAUAUAUUGGUAUUAAUAACACGAAACUCUAAGGCACUGAGGAUAAUAAAAUGAUUGCGAACAUAACGGGU